GUCCACUGCUCAGUUGGUAAAGCACAAGGCUCUUAACUUUGUGGUCUUGGGUUCGAGCCCCACGGUGGACG
rfam:Triticum urartu cultivar G1812 contig901739, whole genome shotgun sequence.